UUGUCCCCUGCUACUGUGUUGUUCAUACAUCUUCUCUAGUUCUCUUCUCUUUCCUACAAAAACCAAGACACACUACACAGAGUUUCAACACAUAAAAUCUCAGAGCUCCCUCCUCUAUAUCUAAAAUCCUCUUCCCUUUGUGUCUUUUCUUGUGCCCUUCGCCUCAAUAUUUAUUUAUUUUUAAAAUUUUCAAGAAACUUUAAAGAACUCGUUUUUCCUUCGAUCUCCAUUUUUCUUUUUGCUGAAAUUCCACUCAAGAAACAAAACGCCGUCGUUUCAGAGAACUAUAUUGUAGGUGAGAAUUUAGUUUCCAAUUUGGGAAAUAAUGUAGGAAAAAAUAGAAAGAGGUUCUUUGUUCUUGUUUGAGAGUACUCAAAAUUGGGACUCCUUUUUUUCCCUUUCUUUUUGCAUGUGGGUUAUUAUUAGAUCUCAAAUUGGGCUAUUUCUUGCAAUUGAAUUGGUUUAUUUUUGUACUUUAAUGGGAUCUGAAGUGUAAAUAACUUAAUUUUUUGUUCUUUUUUUUUGUUUCAAUGCUACAGUAGAAUGCUUAUGGGUUAUGGUCGUUCACUUGUGGCCGAGUUUCUACUUUCUGGUGAUUGCCCAUCUGGUUAACUUACUCAGAAUAAAAAAGGUU
rnacentral:lncRNA from 1 species